rnacentral:tRNA from 1 species
CGGGCAGUCGCUCAGUGGUAGAGCCUCCGCUUCAUAUGCGGGAAGACCUGGGUUCGAUUCCCGGCUACUUGC